CAAACCAUAUCCAAUUCCCAGCCACUUCUCAAAUUCCCUACCCGACCCAAAUCCUUGUCUUCUACACAAAUAGAGAAUCCAAUUUUCCAGCAGCAAAAUAAUACGUACAGACCCAUUCUCCAAAACAACCAAGCGAUUUCCAAUUCUUCCCUCAGAUCGCGACCCUUACACGUUUCUUCCUCUUCUCCAGACGCGAACCAGAGCGUUAUUCCAGCCGCGUAGCGCAUUGUCUUCUCCCUCUCUGCUUAUCCAUUUGUACGGAAUCCAGGUGUCGAGAUCUCCCAUUUCCUUUGUCCUCUCUUCAGAAAUCGAAUGGCUGCAAUUUUCAGUCCGUUGGACAGUUGUACAAUUUUUCGAGCUGGCAUCGGGAACUCAAAUUUCGAGUUUUGAAUUCACCCCUUUGCUUUACCCGAUUUCCCCCUUUUUUGCGCUUUAGUUUCAUCUAUAAAUAACAUCUUCUUCUUUAUUUUUAAGUGAGGUAGAGAAUACUCAAAUCGGUUUCUUUAGAACCCGAAGAGAGUUGGAAAAAUAGAAGAAAAACGGGGACGUUAGAUAAGUGAGGUACAGAAUACUCAAAUCAGUUUCUUUUUAGAACCCGACACUCUUGUUUCUUGGAGUCACACUUUGGUGGGGGGAACUCUUUCCCGUCUCAGUUCAGCUGCCCAGAAAAAGGACUAUUAAUGCACAAGCGAACAUAGAUUCAAAUUUGGGUUUGAUAGAAAAAAAUGAAAAAAAAACACAUAGCAAAGGAAGAAUAAAAAGAGAACCAGUGAAGAAAGUUGCAUAAUUGUAUCUAUACCAAAAUAAUUAUAUAUGUAAAUGGAGAAAGCAUGGAUAUGAAGGCCACCUGGUUUAGCAACAAAGGUAAACAUAUAAUGUCACAAAAUGUAUAUGUGAUGCUCUUUCCAUUUUAAAAAAAUGAUUUUAUUUAUUUUUUAGUCUACUUUAAAAAGAAUGAUGCUUUCUCUUU